AUAUAUAUAUAUAUAUAUAUAUAUAUAUAUAUAUAUAUACACAUAUAUAUAUAUAUACACAUAUAUAUAUAAAAGCAAAAUUGAAAAUAUUACUUACCACAGAGAUGGUAGGUGGAUGGCAGUUUUUAAAUCAAUCAAUGACGCUACUAACCUUUCGAUGGAGCAGAAUGAAAUCAAUGAAUGCGAAGAACCCGUUCUUUUCAAGCGAAUAGAAGAACAAGGUUUUUUUUAAUAACAAUUAAGUGCAAUCCUACAGUCACUGAUGUUCAACUUUACGAUAAACUUGUUCCUUACACUAAUACAAUUUACUCAAUCAAACAUCCAACUUAUGACUUUGAUCGAACUAUCAAAGAUGGUUGGAGACUGUUUAAAGUGAAGCUCAACACAAUGGUUUGGUCAGAGUUUCAUUGAUAAUAAAGGCAAAGCACCCGUAUUUGUUUUUACUUCACCAUUACAAAAGCCAACAUCAUUUAUGAUAACACCAAGACGAGAGGUAAAAUAUUCUAUUUAUUCCUUAAAUAAAAAUAGUUCUAUUACUAAUUUAGAACAUCAACUUAACUUGAGUUUACCGGAAGACGUAAAAAAAUAAAAUAAAAUAUAAAACACGAAAACGAAAGCGCCUUUGACGAAGAAAGGCGUUUGGAAAAAGAAAAACUAAAAAGUUUGCAUUCAAUUAAAAAUCUUAUUAUAGUUGAGGAUCCGUUUAGGAUAUAUAAAUUAAAAAAGAGUCAGAGAAAGGAGACAGAAAAAGACGUUUUAAUUGAGAAAAACGACGUUAAAGAUGGGGAAAUAUCGAGCUACCAUAAUUUUGACAACAACGACAACAACGACGAGGACGAUGUGGCGAUCGAGCAAGCGAACGAUCAAAAAAGAAUACACCCGUAAACACCAGUUAAACAAAAACAAAAAGAAAAAAUAAGUGAAGGACGAAACGGGAUUCCAAAACCAAAAUGGCAAAAAUAAUCGAAAAAACAGUGUUGGUCUAAAAGAUUUCUUUGUAAAACAGUCUUAUUUAUUU